GAUGAACGCUGGCGGCGUGCCUAAUACAUGCAAGUCGAGCGAACAGACGAUGAGCUUGCUCCGCUGACGUGAGCGGCGGACGGGUGAGUAACACGAGUAUAACCUACCUAUAAUACUGGUAUAACCUCGGGAAACCGGAUCUAAUACCGUAUAAUAUAUUGAACCGCAUGGGGCAAUAGUGAAAGACGGUUGUUCUGGCACGAAUAGAUGGAUCCGGGCCGCAUUGGCUAGUUGGUAAGUUAACGGGUUACGAAGGCAACGAUGCGUAGACGACCUGAGAGAGUGAUAGGCGGCACUAGAGGUGAGACAGGGUCCAGACUCCUACGGGAGGCAGCAGUAGGGAAUCUUCCGCAGUAGGCGGAAACCUGACGGAGCAGCGCGGAGUGUGUGGUAGCGAUCUUCGGAUCGUAAAACUGUCUUACUAGGGAAGAACAAAUGUGUAAGUAACUAUGCACGUCUUGACGGUAACUGAUCAGAAAGCCACGGCUAACUACGUG
rnacentral:rRNA from 1 species